rnacentral:rRNA from 1 species
GAUGAACGCUGGCGGUAUGCUUAACACAUGCAAGUCGAACGGACUCUUCGGAGUUAGUGGCGGACGGGUGAGUAACGCGUGAGAAUCUGGCUUUGGGUUCGGGACAACCACUGGAAACGGUGGCUAAUACCGGAUGUUCCGAGCGGUAAAAGAGCAAUUGCCUGAAGAUGAGCUCGCGUCUGAUUAGCUCGUUGGUGAGGUAAAGGCUCACCAAGGCAGCGAUCAGUAGCUGGUCUGGGAGGAUGACCAGCCACACUGGGACUGGGACACGGCCCAGACCAAUACGGGAGGCAGCAGUGGGGAAUUAUCCGGAAUGGGCGAAAGCCUGACGGAGCAAUACCGCGUGAGGGAAGAAGGCUCUUGGGUUGUAAACCUCUGUUCUUAGGGAAGAACAAAAUGACGGUACCUAAGGAAUCAGCAUCGGCUAACUACGUG